GUCGAGAGGCUUCGGCAAUGGGGGAAACCCUGACCGAGCGACGCCGCGUGGGGGAUGAAGGCCUUUGGGUUGUAAACCCCUGUCAAGCGGGACGAAAUGCCCUGAGGUGAUAAGCCGAGGGGGUUGACUGUACCGCUAGAGGAAGCUCCGGCUAACUCCGUGCCAGCAGCCGCGGUAAUACGGGGGGAGCAAGCGUUGUUCGGAAUUACUGGGCGUAAAGGGCGUGUAGGCGGCCGACUAAGUCGGGGGUGAAAUCCACUGGCUCAACCAGUGAAGUGCCUUCGGGACUGGACGGCUUGAGUAUGGCAGAGGGAAGCGGAAUUCCAGGUGUAGCGGUGAAAUGCGUAGAUAUCUGGAAGAACACCGGUGGCGUAGGCGGCUUCCUGGGCCAAUACUGACGCUGAUGCGCGAAAGCCAGGGGAGCAAACGGGAUUAGAAACCCGGGUAGUCC
rnacentral:rRNA from 1 species